CCUACGGGCGGCAGCAGUGAGGAAUAUUGGUCAAUGGACGAGAGUCUGAACCAGCCAAGUAGCGUGAAGGAUGACUGCCCUAUGGGUUGUAAACUUCUUUUAUAUGGGAAUAAAACGUUCCACGUGUGGGAUUUUGUAUGUACCAUAUGAAUAAGGAUCGGCUAACUCCGUGCCAGCAGCCGCGGUAAUACGGAGGAUCCGAGCGUUAUCCGGAUUUAUUGGGUUUAAAGGGAGCGUAGGUGGAUUGUUAAGUCAGUUGUGAAAGUUUGCGGCUCAACCGUAAAAUUGCAGUUGAAACUGGCAGUCUUGAGUACAGUAGAGGUGAGCGGAAUUCGUGGUGUAGCGGUGAAAUGCUUAGAUAUCACGAAGAACUCCGAUUGCGAAGGCAGUUCACUGGACUGCAACUGACACUGAGGCUCGAAAGUGUGGGUAUCAAACAGGAUUAGAUACCCCGGUAGUC
rnacentral:rRNA from 1 species